GAUGAACGCUGGCGGCGUGCUUAACACAUGCAAGUCGAACGGGAAAUCUUUCAUUGAGACUUCGGUGGAUUUGAUUUAUUUCUAGUGGCGGACGGGUGAGUAACGCGUGGGUAACCUGCCUUAUACAGGGGGAUAACAGUCAGAAAUGGCUGCUAAUACCGCAUAAGCGCACAGAGCUGCAUGGCUCAGUGUGAAAAACUCCGGUGGUAUAAGAUGGACCCGCGUUGGAUUAGCUAGUUGGUGGGGUAACGGCCCACCAAGGCGACGAUCCAUAGCCGGCCUGAGAGGGUGAGCGGCCACAUUGGGACUGAGACACGGCCCAGACUCCUACGGGAGGCAGCAGUGGGGAAUAUUGCACAAUGGGGGAAACCCUGAUGCAGCGACGCCGCGUGAAGGAAGAAGUAUCUCGGUAUGUAAACUUCUAUCAGCAGGGAAGAUAGUGACGGUACCUGACUAAGAAGCCCCGGCUAACUACGUG
rnacentral:rRNA from 1 species